AAAGAUGGAGACAAAGUACUUUUCAAAAGUUGAAGACAAAGUGGGAGAAAAUGUUGUACAUAAAUUAUUGUUUUACAAAGAAAAGAUUCCUUUCAAGAAUUGAAGAAAAUUUCAAGUUCGGAGCUCAAGAAUUCAACUAUAAAAGAAGAUCACAAUUCAAGAUCUCUCUAAGUGUGAUUUAGUGGAAGAUAAAUCAGCUUCUAGAAAAUUUGAGAAAAACCUUGUAUUCCUAAAUUUUCAAAUUUCAAUUUUUUAUUUCAAAUUUCAAUCUUUUCAUAUCAAUUUUUAUAUUUCAAUAAAAUUAUCUCUUCAUUUCAACAUUUAUCUAUUUUCUUCUGUCCUCUAUCUCUAGGGCCUAUUUUGGUAUCAUAUAUAUAUGUGUGUGUUGUAUUUACAGUACCCUACUCUAUUUGGUUGCCUACUAAGUUCUAUGUAAAAAAUGACUAAAUUGAUCCUACCAGCAAAGAUCAGAUCUAACUGGCCAAAAUUAUGAAUUGAUACAAUCAUAGGGGGUGUUAGAAAUAGUUUGUAAAUAAAAAUGGAAAAUGAGAACUAAUGUUUGGACUAAGCAAGUGGAAAAUGGAUUCUCAAAAAGUAGGAUAGUUAAAUAGGGCAUGUCAUUUGCUCUUUAGGAUAUUUCUAGUUUAUCAUUGGAUGCUUAACUUUUAUUGACCAACUUGCUCUUCUUCUACUUUAGAACAGUGGCAUAAAUAUUGGCUAACUUCCUUGAUAUUCUUUCAACUCUGGCAAUAUAGAUUCUUUCUAAGUAUCAACACGCCAUUAGAGUGGAGUGUCGGUGACCGACAUGUAUUGGACAUUGACACAUGUCAGAUGUGCUCCGACAGGUGUGGGAAUAUCCCUUUCUCGUUCGUUCCUUUUAUUUUUUUUUUUUUUUUCCCUUUCAUUUGAAUUGGACAUGCAUUCGACCUGAGAAAUCCAUUUUAAAAUAAUCACUUGGCAGGGGUAGUUGACAAAGGAAGAGGAGAUGAUGUUGGGUAAUGGAAGAGGACGUGAAAUUUUUAGAUGAUUGAUAUCAUGAGUAAAGUUGGCAAUGGAAACAUGUUACACAUACACCUUAGGAAGAAAAAUAAAGAAGUGAUUUUGAUUGAUUCUACUGGAUUUCCCUAUGUCCUUUCCAUAGUUAUUUGUUUUGGAUUCGGUAAUUUUCCAUUCAUCACAAGAUUUAUUAUGCAUAUAAGGCAUAGUGUUUUUGUAAUGAACAGACUAUUGAUUAUGGAACAUUGAAUUGAUGUUGAUUUUCUCUCUCAAAUUCUCUUUUCUUCUUCCUUGUUUCACGUCUUGUGUUUUUUUCCCUCUUAUUCUUAUUCUUCUACUUCUCUUCUCUAUACUCUGUUGUUCUACUUACUCUGCUGAAUAUCUAGAGCAGGGCCUUGCACCCAAAUUGAAAUUUGGACAGACAUGUUAGUUAAUUUAAGUAUGUGAGGGCAUAGCUAGUUAUCAAAUGGAUUAUCAAUGACUGUUAAAUGGCAAACUGGGUCAAAAUUUAAAGGAUAUGCCUUGAGAGGCUUCUAUUUUAAUUGAUUUUAUUUCUAUUAAUUAAUUUUUUUUUCUUUUCAUUUGGCUCAAAUUAUUCUGCGUGGUUUUCAACCUUUUAGAAGUUCCUUCACGAAUGAAUGUUGGACAAAUAUUUCAAUGUUCUCUCGGGUGAGCAGGUGGUCUACUGGAUAAACAUUAUCGAAUAACACCUUUUGAUGAGUGAUAUGAACAGAACUUCUUUUGCAGUUCCUUGCAUGAGGAUUCAAAAAAUACCGGAUCCCCACUUACAUAAGCAAAUUGUUGAUAAAACUCCAGAAUGACAUUUUCUUUUGAUAAAAAUUUUUCUCUCUCCUUAUCAUUCAG
rnacentral:lncRNA from 1 species